GACGAACGCUGGCGGCGUGCUUAACACAUGCAAGUCGAGCGGUAAGGCCCUUUCGGGGGUACACGAGCGGCGAACGGGUGAGUAACACGUGGGUGACCUGCCCUCAGCUCUGGGAUAAGCCCGGGAAACUGGGUCUAAUACCGGAUAUGACUCCAUGACGCAUGUUGUUGGGUGGAAAGCCUUGUGCGGCUGAGGAUGGGCCCGCGGCCUAUCAGCUUGUUGGUGGGGUGAUGGCCACCAAGGCGACGACGGGUAGCCGGCCUGAGAGGGCGACCGGCCACACUGGGACUGAGAUACGGCCCAGACUCCUACGGGAGGCAGCAGUGGGGAAUCUUGCGCAAUGGGCGAAAGCCUGACGCAGCGACGCCGCGUGAGGAUGAC
rnacentral:rRNA from 1 species